rnacentral:lncRNA from 1 species
AAACCUCACCAGUACCUGCACAGGAGAAACACCACGGAUCACAGCGCGAUCUGAAUGGCAAGAGCCUUGCCCUCACCCCACACCUUCCCAGCCUGCUUCCCCUGGGACACAGCCGUUGCUCACUUCCUAUCUGGACCCCAGAGGCCUCAGCCUGCAUCCUCACCCAGACAGAGCAGUUCUCAAGGAUCCUCCCUGUGCCCAGAAGUCUCCCUAGCCUGAGUGGUACAUGGGCAUCCCUCGCCUUCCUGAGAUCCCCUAUUGGGCCCUUUGAGCCCCGUUGUCCCCCACACCCCCCAUCCCGCCCCCCAGCCAUGCCCCACGCCUUGCCUGGUGGGUGCGGGGGUCCCCCUCAGCAGGUGGGCUGUGGCUGGGGGGCGUCUCCCGGGACAGGGGGGGCGGCCCCCCCCAGAUGGGUCUGCAUGUGGCCGGCCAGCUGGGCAGGGGUCUUGCAGUGCACGCUGCACAGCUUGCACAGGAUGCGGUCAGCCCGCGGGGCCUGGAGCCCGUGGUCCUUCACCGCGUGGAUGCGCAGGGUUGACCCUCAGCAGAGACGGCUGUGUCCCCUUCCCUCCAGUGCCCCGCGGUCUCAACCCAGUUAACCGGAAUCUAGACGCCACGAGCUCUUGGCUACAGCACCCUUAACCCGUAUCCGUGGCAAGGCGUCUGGCCAGGCGCCCACCCUCUGCCCCUGGCCCUCCCGGCAGCCCUCGGCAUGUACCUUUGUUGCAGAGCUCACAGACAUGGUGAGGACCCUGGCUGUGCACCUUCAUGUGGUCCGAAAUAUAAGCCGAGCUCAGCAUCUUGCCACACACGUGACAUGGCACUUUCUCCUCGUGUCGUACUGUGUGCGCCCGCAGCCGAUCCUUCGUGGCGAAAGCUGCCUCACAUUUCUGAGGAGGGGGGAGGGGCGUGGGGGGUGUCACAGGAGAGUUAAAGCUUGGUGGGCUGGGGAGGGGGGAGCAAGAGAUUAAAGGAAUCAGAGCCUUGGGGAUCUUUGAUCUGUAGGAAAUGGGAGUGACAUGAUGAGGCCUUGAAGAAGGGAUGAGAAAAUGGAGCAAAAAGGCAAAAAGAAGAGAGAGAAAAAGGGGGUCUGAGAGACUGACUCAGACAGCUACCAUGAGGAUCAAAAUCAUGAAAACCAAGACAGGAGGAGGCGGGCUUCCUACCUCACAUUUGAAGGGCCGUUCUGUUGAGUGCACUUGUCUGACGUGACUGUUGAGGUGAUCCGGCCUGGGGACACGUUGGGGUUGGGGUUAGGGCGGAGGUGGUGCGCCCCAAAUCCACCAAACCGCACCACAGGCCUUUCCGAGGAUCCCUGCGCCUCCUCCCGGAGCCCAGGCCGUCACAGCGACACUUAAGCAGGAAAUCCCUCCCCUGGAGCCCAGCAGCCGCUGCCGCCGCCGCCGCCUCCUCCCACGCGAAGCUUCCGUCAACCCCAAGGCCCACCUCCUCGACAAAGGACCACCCCUUGCUCCCUGGUAACCGGGAGAGGCUUCCUCCCUCCGCCCUGGGAGUGGCUCCCCUUCCCCAGCCUCAGCAGCCGCCUCCCUCCCCGCCAGCCACGGCCAGGCCACCUCCGUCGCGUCCCUCCCUCCCCACGGCCUAGCGGGCGGCCGAGGCCCCGUGCACACCGGGAGAAGCUCUUGCCACAGUGGGAGCAGUUGUAGGGCUUGUGCACAGCGCCGUCAUGUGAGCGCACGUGGUAGCUCAUGCGGUCCUUGCGCUUGAAGCGCUGCUGGCACACCGGGCACUGGUAGGGCUUCUCGUCCGAGUGCGACAGCUUGUGUCGGUUCAGGUGGUAGACGUCGCGGAAGGCCUUGCCACACAUCUCGCAGGCAUGGUUCUUCCGGAUGCGCUUCCCCGAGGCGGUCGUGGUCACCACGCCACCGGCGGCCACUGCGGCAGCGCCGCCGCCGGCACCCGCCUCUCCCCCUCCCCCGCCGGCUCCGCUCAGCUGGGGCACGCUCAGGAGGCUCAGGGGCACCAUGGUCGGCAUCUUCAUAGCACCCGAGGGGACCCGGCCGGCCUUGGCUCCCGUGUGGAUGGCUUCGUGCCUCCGGAGAUUGUAGCCGUUCUUGAACUCCUUGGCGCACAGAGCGCAGAUGUAGGGCCCCUUGCUCUUUGUCUUCUUCUCCAAGGCAGACGCGACCGGGGCCACGGCGACCGUCGAGGUUGGGGCUACGACGGCGGUGGCCGCCGCCGCGGCGAUAGUGGCGGCGGAGGCGGGGGGCGCGGCCUCGGCCGCGGGCGCCGACACUGGCGGGGGUGGCGGAGGGGGCGCCGGAGGCUGCUUCAGGGCCGCUGUGUCCACCGUAGAGGCGGCGGCAGGGGCCGGGGGCGCGGCAGCGACGGCGGCAGCAGCGGCGGCAGCGGCCGCAGCAGCCGCGGCGGACUCCUGGGCGGCGGCGAGCACCGGGAGCAAGUCCACCUGGAGGGGCUCGGCCGCCGGGGCCUGGGGCGUGGGCGGGGGCGCCGGCGCGGCCUGCGGAGACAAGGCGCCGAGUGGGCCGCGGGUGCGGGCGGGCGUCCCCCCCCAGCCCGGGCCGCCGCGGCCGGCCCUACUCACCUGGAAUGGACUCUGGGCGCAGCCCUGGGAGGCAAAGAAGCGGGACUGGAGCUCAGCCCCGACCUGCAGGGGGUUCUGGGCGUGACCCUGAGGUGGCGGGAAGGAGUUCAUGAGGCCGCCCACCCCCCGGGAGUCCAGGCCCAGCACGGGGAAGGGGGGGGCCAGCAGCGUGCAAGGAAACACCGGGAACAUGGCCUCGGCCGCAGCGGGGCCCCCGGGGCUCAGCGGGGGCCGGGGGCGCGGGCCGCGCGGGGCCCGGGCUCGGGGCGCCGCCCCCGGCCGGCCGGGCUGGGCCGCGCCGAACGCAUGGCCCGCGGGCCGCCCCGCCGCCCGCGCACCCCGGCCGGCGGGAGGGAGGAAAAGAGGGCGCCUUGCGGGCCGCGGAGCGCCGCGGCGACGGCGGCGGCGACGCCCCCUGGGUGGGGGCGGGAGGCCCCGCGGGGCCGGGGCCGG